rnacentral:rRNA from 1 species
GACAGAGGGUGCAAACGUUGUUCGGAAUUACUGGGCGUAAAGGGCUCGUAGGCGGCCAACUAAGUCGGACGUGAAAUCCCUCAGCUUAACUGGGGAACUGCGUCCGAUACUGGAUGGCUUGGAUUUGGGAGAGGGAUGCGGAAUUCCAGGUGUAGCGGUGAAAUGCGUAGAUAUCAGGAGGAACACCGAUGGCGAAGGCGGUUCUCUGGGCCUUACCUGACGCUGAGGAGCGAAAGCGUGGGGAGCAAACAGG